CUGGUAGUGGGGGAUAACGUCCGGAAACGGACGCUAAUACCGCAUACGUCCUACGGGAGAAAGCAGGGGACCUUCGGGCCUUGCGCUAUCAGAUGAGCCUAGGUCGGAUUAGCUAGUUGGUGGGGUAAUGGCUCACCAAGGCGACGAUCCGUAACUGGUCUGAGAGGAUGAUCAGUCACACUGGAACUGAGACACGGUCCAGACUCCUACGGGAGGCAGCAGUGGGGAAUAUUGGACAAUGGGCGAAAGCCUGAUCCAGCCAUGCCGCGUGUGUGAAGAAGGUCUUCGGAUUGUAAAGCACUUUAAGUUGGGAGGAAGGGCAGUAAAUUAAUACUUUGCUGUUUUGACGUUACCGACAGAAUAAGCACCGGCUAACUCUGUGCCAGCAGCCGCGGUAAUACAGAGGGUGCAAGCGUUAAUCUGAAUUACUGGGCGUAAAGCGCGCGUAGGUGGUUCGUUAAAUUGGAUGUGAAAUCCCCGGGCUCAACCUGGGAACUGCAUUCAAAACUGACGAGCUAGAGUAUGGUAGAGGGUGGGUGGAAUUUCCUGUGU
rnacentral:rRNA from 1 species